rnacentral:sRNA from 1 species
CUUUAGCCCCGAUGGAAGCGGCAUCCUUUUUUGCUUUUUCGGCAAAAAAGAUAUAGUGAACAGCGGGACCAAUC